rnacentral:rRNA from 1 species
GUAGGUGGCAAGCGUUGUCCGGAAUUAUUGGGCGUAAAGCGCGCGCAGGCGGUCCUUUAAGUCUGAUGUGAAAGCCCACGGCUCAACCGUGGAGGGUCAUUGGAAACUGGGGGACUUGAGUACAGAAGAGGAAAGCGGAAUUCCAAGUGUAGCGGUGAAAUGCGUAGAGAUUUGGAGGAACACCAGUGGCGAAGGCGGCUUUCUGGUCUGUAACUGACGCUGAGGCGCGAAAGCGUGGGGAGCAAACAGGAUUAGAUACCCUGGUAGUCCACGCCGUAAACGAUGAGUGCUAGGUGUUAGGGGGUUUCCCGCCCCCUUAGUGCUGCAGCUAACGCAUUAAGCACUCCGCCUGGGGGAGUACGGCCGCAAGGCUA